UCAGUGACUUUAACAGAAUUUAUUGAUCCUGAUGUUUACAUAUAGAUAUUCAUGAAUACAACACAAUUUAGGCCUUUCUUGCUCUAUUACAGAAGCCUUUUCUGUUGACUGCAUAGGACAAAUUUUCUUGUGCAAGGCAAUGUCUUUGAGUAGGUGCAUCUGCCUGGGUAGCUGGAGUGUUGCCCUGAAUAACCCAGUUAAAUCAACUUCUGGCUGCAUGCUCUGUCUACACCAUACAACAGAGAUGGGACUUGCUUCUGGAGGCAAAAUAUGAAAAUAUGAAAAUAUGAAUAUCAAAAUAUGAAAAUUCUUUGCGAGAGAAUACUUCCUUUUUCCACACAGCUCUAUUGCCAAGGUAACCUGGCCACAAAGAGUACUUCAAAGAGAUUGGAUGGUGCUGUUCAUUUGAAAUAAAAGCACAAUCAAUAAGGAUAUCCAAGCAUGAAGUGGUCCUGCCAAUAGAAGUUUUGGGGGAUCAGAUUCCAUCUCUGAGUUGUACCCAUUAUCACUGGCCUCUUACAAGGGAAAAGAAACCAAGGGCUGUGUAGUUAAUGGCACAAUAAACAUGACAGUUGCAUGCUUUGCUAAAAAAGAAAAAUACAGCACUAUAGUAAAGAUGUAAAUA